rnacentral:lncRNA from 1 species
CUUGGGGAAAGCUCUUUGGGUAGGCUUUCAGGGGCUGGCUAGAGAGUAAGGUGGUACACAUUCAUUCCCACAGUUCCCUGUCCCCUGCCUAGGUCAUCUGCUGACCCUAGGGCUGCUGAGCCUCUUGGGUGGAUGUGGCAGUGUGUUGAGGCUACAAUAACAAGAUGUCACAGCCUUAACACAGAAAUUUCUUUCUCAUAAUUCAAAGACAGAAAAGCCUGAGAUCAAGAUGCCUAUAGGCCACCUUUAGCCUAAGUUCUGUUCGCCUCCUCAGACAGAUGCCUUCUUGCUGUGCAUCCAGUACCUCUUCUGUGCCAGGGAGAGUGAGUGCUCUGUGAAAGACUGCUAUCCAAGAAGGGAGCUAGGCCCUCAGGAAGGUCACACAGCCUCUCAACACAUAGCAUUGAACAAAGUCAGCAGCAGAAAAAGGAAGAGCCAGAAUUCUGCACCUCAGCAUCUGUGUGACCACAGGCAACCCUGCCUUCUCCAGAGAAGCUGGGGCUUUCCUGUUUGUAAGAAAUGGGACGAUGUGAGGAACACAGAAACACUGGACCAUGGAUUCAUGACUGGAGGACCGGGGUUUGGAGCUCGCUUGGGACCACAGGAACACCGGUGCGCCCAAGUUCCAGGCCUUCCCGCCGGCAGGGAACUGGGCCAAUCCUCGACGACUCGCGCGGCUGCUGAACGCAGUGCUAUUUGGUCCCCGAGCUCCGGGAGGCGUCCCCAGGCUCCACUCCCGUUCAGCUUAAGGUGGUGUCACAUGAGCUGCGGGGGAGUGGGAACCCAGAGAGUGGGCGGUGGCGUGCGUGCCCAGAGGGGGCCGCCCAGUCCACCUAUAUGCACAGGGACCCGCCUGACGGAUGCCAGGAAUUCCCAAUGAGAGGCGCUGGGGGGAAGUUUGGGCAACUCGGCCUGGCCAAUGGAG